rnacentral:rRNA from 1 species
ACACAUGCAGUCGAACGGUGAACACGGAGCUUGCUCUGUGGGAUCAGUGGCGAACGGGUGAGUAACACGUGAGCAACCUGCCCCUGACUCUGGGAUAAGCGCUGGAAACGGCGUCUAAUACUGGAUAUGUGACGUGACCGCAUGGUCUGCGUUUGGAAAGAUUUUUCGGUUGGGGAUGGGCUCGCGGCCUAUCAGCUUGUUGGUGAGGUAAUGGCUCACCAAGGCGUCGACGGGUAGCCGGCCUGAGAGGGUGACCGGCCACACUGGGACUGAGACACGGCCCAGACUCCUACGGGAGGCAGCAGUGGGGAAUAUUGCACAAUGGGCGGAAGCCUGAUGCAGCAACGCCGCGUGAGGGAUGACGGCCUUCGGGUUGUAAACCUCUUUUAGCAGGGAAGAAGCGAAAGUGACGGUACCUGCAGAAAAAGCGCCGGCUAACUACGUGCCAGCAGCCGCGGUAAUACGUAGGGCGCAAGCGUUAUCCGGAAUUAUUGGGCGUAAAGAGCUCGUAGGCGGUUUGUCGCGUCUGCUGUGAAAUCCCGAGGCUCAACCUCGGGCCUGCAGUGGGUACGGGCAGACUAGAGUGCGGUAGGGGAGAUUGGAAUUCCUGGUGUAGCGGUGGAAUGCGCAGAUAUCAGGAGGAACACCGAUGGCGAAGGCAGAUCUCUGGGCCGUAACUGACGCUGAGGAGCGAAAGGGUGGGGAGCAAACAGGCUUAGAUACCCUGGUAGUCCACCCCGUAAACGUUGGGAACUAGUUGUGGGGUCCAUUCCACGGAUUCCGUGACGCAGCUAACGCAUUAAGUUCCCCGCCUGGGGAGUACGGCCGCAAGGCUAAAACUCAAGGAAUUGACGGGGACCCGCACAAGCGGCGGAGCAUGCGGAUUAAUUCGAUGCAACGCGAAGAACCUUACCAAGGCUUGACAUAUACGAGAACGGGCCAGAAAUGGUCAACUCUUUGGACACUCGUAAACAGGUGGUGCAUGGUUGUCGUCAGCUCGUGUCGUGAGAUGUUGGGUAAGUCCCGCACGAGCGCAACCCUCGUUCUAUGUGCAGCACGUAAUGGUGGAACUCAUGGGAUACUGC